GGUUCAUAGCCACGUCGCCGGUAGCCAAAAUUUGGCAGUGAUCGGUGAUGUCAGUAUAGAACCUAAAUCAAUUCCUUGUUUCGCAUGCUGAUAGGAACCUGUGGACCGAUAAUCUCCGUUCGUCCAUGGAGCCACUUUCUGCGAUUACAAUC